rnacentral:rRNA from 1 species
GAUGAACGCUAGCUACAGGCUUAACACAUGCAAGUCGAGGGACCGGCGCACGGGUGAGUAACACGUAUCCAACCUGCCCUUUACUCGGGGAUAGCCUUUCGAAAGAAAGAUUAAUACCCGAUAUAAAGGAUGGGGAUGCGUUCCAUUAGGUUGUUGGUGAGGUAACGGCCCACCAAGACUUAGAGGGAUAGGGGUUCUGCGAGGAAGGUCCCCCACAUUGGAACUGAGACACGGUCCAAACUCAUACGGGAGGCAGCAGUGAGGAAUAUGGGGAAAUGGGCGUGAGCCUGAACCAGCCAAGUAGCGUGAAGGAUGAAGGCUUAUGGGUCGUAAACUUCUUUUAUAGAAGAAGAUGUAUUAUAUGAAUAAGGAUCGGCUAACUCCGUGCCAGCAGCCGCGGUAAUUC